GACGAACGCUGGCGGCGUGCUUAACACAUGCAAGUCGAACGGAAAGGCCCUGCUUUUGUGGGGUGCUCGAGUGGCGAACGGGUGAGUAACACGUGAGUAACCUGCCCUUGACUUUGGGAUAACUUCAGGAAACUGGGGCUAAUACCGGAUAGGAGCUCCUGCUGCAUGGUGGGGGUUGGAAAGUUUCGGCGGUUGGGGAUGGACUCGCGGCUUAUCAGCUUGUUGGUGGGGUAGUGGCUUACCAAGGCUUUGACGGGUAGCCGGCCUGAGAGGGUGACCGGCCACAUUGGGACUGAGAUACGGCCCAGACUCCUACGGGAGGCAGCAGUGGGGAAUAUUGCACAAUGGGCGGAAGCCUGAUGCAGCAACGCCGCGUGCGGGAUGACGGCCGUCGGGUUGUAAACCGCUUUCGCCUGUGACGAAGCGUGAGUGACGGUAAUGGGUAAAGAAGCACCGGCUAACUACGGG
rnacentral:rRNA from 1 species